UCAGAGAGGUGAUGUCAUGUAG
rnacentral:miRNA from 1 species